rnacentral:rRNA from 1 species
GAUGAACGCUGGCGGCGUGCUUAACACAUGCAAGUCGAACGAACCUUUUCGGAGGUUAGUGGCGGACGGGUGAGUAACGCGUGAGGAUCUGCCUAAAGGACCGGGACAACAGUGGGAAACCGCUGCUAAAACCGGAUGUGCCGAGAGGUGAAAUAUUUAUAGCCUUUAGAUGAACUCGCGUCUGAUUAGCUAGUUGGUGGUGUAAGAGACUACCAAGGCGACGAUCAGUAGCUGGUCUGAGAGGACGAUCAGCCACACUGGGACUGAGACACGGCCCAG